AUGAACAGCCAAGGUCAUGCACUCACUUCUCAUGUUUACAUUCCAGCAAAGUGUCACACGCGUGCCGGUGAGUGGAGCAGAGGUAGGAUCCAAAUGUGGGGAGGGAAAAGGCAAACAGGUAGGUACUUUUACCAUAAGUUUAAUAAUGACACAUGCUGGACAACUGAAACAAUGAACCGGCACAGGACACAGAACAGACGGGGUUUAAAUACAGGAGGGUCGGGAGCUUGGGUGAUUGGGAGACGAGAGGCAGGUGGGAGCAAUCAACGGAGACACAUGACUAAACAGAACGGGGAGACAAGACAGGGUGCGACAGCCCCCCCCCCCAAAGGGCGGAUCCCAGACGUCCACAGGAACAAGAAGCAGGGCGGGAGGAGGGGGACCCGGAGGGAGGGCCCAGAGGAACCGAGGGACCGAUGGAGAGGAGGCAGGGACCAGCAGAGUCCGGGGGUCUGCGCCCGGGACAGAGGAGGAGGCGACGGGCUCUUGGAGGCUGGCGUCUGCGGCAGAGGAGGAGGCGACGGGCUCUCGGAGGCCAGCGUCUGCGGCAGAGGAGGAGGCGACGAGCUCUCGGAGGCGGCGCAUGCGGCAGAGGAGGAGGCAACGGGCUCUCGGAGGCUGGCGACUGCAGCAGAGGAGGAGGCGACGGGCUCUUGGGGGCCCGUGCCUGGCGAGGGCAGGGCCGGCGGUGGCCGAAAGCAGGAACACCGGAGGAGACUCCCCGACUGGACGCGGCUUCGUUGGGCUAGAGGGCCCGUCGACUUCUGGAGUGGGAAAGGCGACUUCAGAAGAGGCGUCGACUUCAGACGAGACGACUUCAGAAGAGGCGACGACUUCAGAGGCAACUUCGGACGAGACGACUUCAGACAAGACGACAACUUCGGACGAGACGACUUCAGACGAGACGACAACUUCGGACGAGAAGACUUCAGACGAGACGACUUCAGAGGCGACUUCGGACGAGACGACUUCAGAGGCGACUUCGGACGAGACGACUUCAGAGGCGACUUUGGACGAGAUGACUUCAGAGGCGACUUUGGACGAGAUGACUUCAGAGGCGACUUUGGACGAGACGACUUCAGAGGCGACUUCGGACGAGACGACUUCAGAGGCAACUUCGGACGAGACGACUUCAGAGGCGACUUCGGACGACGACUUCAGAGGCAACUUCGGACGACGACUUCAGAGGCAACUUCAGACGAGAUGACUUCAGAGGCAACUUCAGACGAGACGACUUCAGAGGAGGCGUAG
rnacentral:lncRNA from 1 species